CGAACGGGUGAGUAACACGUGGGCAACCCUGCCCAAAAGAGGGGGAUAACACUUGGAAACAGGUGCUAAUACCGCAUAACCAUAGUUACCGCAUGGUAGCUAUGUAAAAGGUGGCUAUGCUACCGCUUUUGGAUGGGCCCGCGGCGCAUUAGCUAGUUGGUGGGGUAAAGGCUUACCAAGGCAAUGAUGCGUAGCCGAACUGAGAGGUUGAUCGGCCACAUUGGGACUGAGACACGGCCCAAACUCCUACGGAAGGCAGCAG
rnacentral:rRNA from 1 species